rnacentral:rRNA from 1 species
CAGCCGCCGCGGUAAUACAGAGGAUGCAAGCGUUAUCCGGAAUGAUUGGGCGUAAAGCGUCUGUAGGUGGCUUUUCAAGUCCGCCGUCAAAUCCCAGGGCUCAACCCUGGACAGGCGGUGGAAACUACAAGCUGGAGUACGGUAGGGGCAGAGGGAAUUUCCGGUGGAGCGGUGAAAUGCGUUGAGAUCGGAAAGAACACCAACGGCGAAAGCACUCUACUGGGCCGACACUGACACUGAGAGACGAAAGCUAGGGGAGCAAAUGGGAUUAGAUACCCCCGUAGUCCCUGUCUCUUAUACA